GUGGGGAAUCUUGCGCAAUGGGCGAAAGCCUGACGCAGCGACGCCGCGUGGGGGAUGAAGCUUCUCGGAGUGUAAACCCCUUUCGACCCGGACGAAACGCCCGCAAGGGUUUGACGGUACGGGUAUAAGAAGCCCCGGCUAACUACGUGCCAGCAGCCGCGGUAAAACGUAGGGGGCCAGCGUUGCUCGGAAUUACUGGGCGUAAAGGGUUCGUAGGCGGUGCGGCAAGUCGGGAGUGAAAUCCCUGGGCUUAACUCAGGGGCUGCUCCCGAAACUGCCGUGCUCGAGUGCGGGAGAGGCGAGUGGAAUUGCAGGUGUAGCGGUGAAAUGCGUAGAUAUCUGCAGGAACACCCGUGGCGAAGGCGGCUCGCUGGACCGCAACUGACGCUGAGGAACGAAAGCUAGGGGAGCAAACAGGAUUAGAAACCCGAGUAGUCC
rnacentral:rRNA from 1 species